AUGGGUACUAUCUAUGGCAGGAUGUUUGCUGUGAGUUGUUCGUAUGUGCAUCUGUUGGAUGCCGUUGCCUCUCGAUGCCGUUUGCCAUUCCACUCAUACCUGCGAGAGGUUAUGGAAGAUGGUGAUUUGCUCGGGGGAGUCGAGAUUGAGGUUGAUGUUCCUGGGAGAGAUGCAUUGACAGUCAGGAGGUUCUUCUGGUCCCAGGCCAGUGUGGGCUUGUCCAUUUAUGAAAGCACUGCUUUCCAGGCAAUUUCUUUUCUGCAAGGGGUGUAUGGGUUUGUUGUGUUGGAUUACAAUUAUAGGAGUAUGUCUACUUAUCGAGAGCUUGCUCGCUCUGCGGUGGUUCUGGCUGCAUCGCUGGUCAGGGCCACGCCGCCUGUUGCACGUGCCGAUGGGUCUGUCGUUGUGGAUGACAUUGAUGUUGUUUCGCAGCGACAGAUGCUCCAUGCUGCCUUAGUUACGGUGGCAUGUGCUUUAUAG
rnacentral:rRNA from 1 species